GAUGAACGCUGGCGGCGUGCUUAACACAUGCAAGUCGAACGGUGAAGGCGGAGCUUGCUCUGCUGGAUCAGUGGCGAACGGGUGAGUAACACGUGAGCAAUCUGCCCCUGACUCUGGGAUAAGCGCUGGAAACGGCGUCUAAUACUGGAUACGAGCUGCGAAGGCAUCUUCAGCAGCUGGAAAGAACUUCGGUCAGGGAUGAGCUCGCGGCCUAUCAGCUUGUUGGUGAGGUAACGGCUCACCAAGGCGUCGACGGGUAGCCGGCCUGAGAGGGUGACCGGCCACACUGGGACUGGGACACGGCCCAGACUCCUACGGGGGGCAGCAGGGGGGAAUAUUGCACAAAGGGCGAAAGCCUGAUGCAGCAACGCCGCGUGAGGGACGACGGCCUUCGGGUUGUAAACCUCUUUUAGCAGGGAAGAAGCGAAAGUGACGGUACCUGCAGAAAAAGCGCCGGCUAACUACG
rnacentral:rRNA from 1 species